GGAGAAGUACCCAAGUGGCUAUAAGGGGCUCCCCUGCUAAGGGAGUAGGCUGCGAAAGCGGUGCGCGGGUUCGAAUCCCGCCUUCUCCGCCA
rnacentral:tRNA from 1 species